GAUAUCAGUCAUACAUGUUCAGCUCAUAAAUUAAUCCAAAGUGAACAUACUCGUAUAUCAAAAUACUCAGAUCAAAAAUAUUUGAUUGCACCAGGUGCAGUGGUGCAUACCUGUUAUCCCAGCAGUUUGGGAGGCUGAGACAGGAGGAUCAAGAGUUUGAAGCCAGAAGCCAGCCUCAGCAAAAGCAAGAAAAUGCUUUGGAAGCCAGGCACAGUGGCGCAUGUGUAAUCCCAGUGACUAGGGAGGCUGAGGCAUAAGGAUUGCAAGUUCGAGACAGCCUCAGCAAGUUAGUGAGGCCCUGAGUAACAUAGUGAGACCCUGUCUCCAAAAAAUAUUGAAAAUAAAUAAAGAAAGAAAAUGCUUUGUAUAGGGGGUUGGAUGUGUGGCUCAGUUGUAGAGCCUUUGCCUAGCAUGUAUAAAGCCUUGAGUUUGAUCCCUAGUAUCACACACACCAAAGCUUUUAAAAAUACUACUUACCUGAGAGGCUAAAGCAGGAGGAUUGAAAGUUGAAGGCCAGCCUGGGCAAUUUAAGGAGACCUGUCUCAAAAUUAAAAAAAAAAAAAGAGGGGCUAGGGAUAUUUCUCAGUGGUAGACACUUGCCUAGUGUGAGGCCCUGGGUUCAAUUCCCAUACACCCUACCCUACACCCCCACAACAAAAGAAAGAAAAAAAGAAAAUACUACUUAGAUUUGGACAAUGCUGUCCACUUAAAAUAUGGCUAGUGUGACUGAGGAGUUGAAUAUUAAGUUUUAAUUAAAUUUAAAUAGCCACAUGUAUAUAGUAGCUACUAUAUUGGACUGUAUACUUAUAGACAACUGAGCACCUAAAUCUUCUACACAGAACAUAAGAACAGAAGGCCAAAUUUUCUUCAGGUUAAAUUGAACUGGUAACAAGGCACUUUGAAAGAAAUGAACACAAAGUACCAUUAAUAACUAAAAAGAGGAUUAAGGAGGAGAUUUUAAGUAGAAACCAGCCGUGAUCUGAAUUUAUAUGCACAACCUGCUUUAGAAAAGAAGAUUCAAAAAAUAUUUUGGAAAUGGAGAAAACAAAUAAUUUGUACACUAGUUUCAAAU
rnacentral:lncRNA from 1 species